rnacentral:rRNA from 1 species
UGGGGGAUAUUGCACAAUGGGGGGAACCCUGAUGCAGCGACGCCGCGUGAGCGAAGAAGUGCUUCGGCAUGUAAAGCUCUAUCAGCAGGGAAGAAAAUGACGGUACCUGACUAAGAAGCCCCGGCUAACUACGUGCCAGCAGCCGCGGUAAUACGUAGGGGGCAAGCGUUAUCCGGAUUUACUGGGUGUAAAGGGAGCGUAGACGGCAUGGCAAGUCCGAUGUGAAAACCCGCGGCUCAACUGCGGGAUGGCAUUGGAAACUGUCAGGCUUGAGUACUGGAGGGGCAGGCGGAAUUCCUGGUGUAGCGGUGGA